CCCGGGGUAGCUCAACUGGCAGAGCAUGCGGCUGUAGACCGCAGGGUUGGGAGUUCGAGUCUCCCCCCCGGGA
rnacentral:tRNA from 1 species